GAUGAACGCUGGCGGCGUGCUUAACACAUGCAAGUCGAACGAUGAAGCCCAGCUUGCUGGGUGGGUUAGUGGCGAACGGGUGAGUAACACGUGAGUAACCUGCCCUUAACUCUGGGAUAAGCCUGGGAAACUGGGUCUAAUACCGGAUAGGAGCGUCCACCGCAUGGUGGGUGUUGGAGAGAUUUAUCGGUUUUGGAUGGACUCGCGGCCUAUCAGCUUGUUGGUGAGGUAAUGGCUCACCAAGGCGACGACGGGUAGCCGGCCUGAGAGGGUGACCGGCCACACUGGGACUGAGACACGGCCCAGACUCCUACGGGAGGCAGCAGUGGGGAAUAUUGCACAAUGGGCGAAAGCCUGAUGCAGCGACGCCGCGUGAGGGAUGACGGCCUUCGGGUUGUAAACCUCUUUCAGUAGGGAAGAAGCGAAAGUGACGGUACCUGCAGAAGAAGCACCGGCUAACUACGUG
rnacentral:rRNA from 1 species